UGAGUAGCUGAAGAGGUAUUUACUUCUAAAGAUAUUAGUACAUACAGAUUUUGUAAUUUCAUCUCUUUCGUAUUUGUAACUUGUAGGGCUAACUCCCACCACCAGUGAAUUACCAUGAGAAUAAAGUAACUAGGUGAAAUUUGACACGGUGUUUAUAAAGUAGUGAUUUAAAAAAUUGGAAUUCGGUAAUAUUAAAUAUACUAUUAACGAGAUUAUUUGGAUAAAAUCUGAUCUAUUGAUAUUAGCUCUCAGCGUCGAUAUGAAAAAACAAUUUUUUUUCAUUAAAUACAAUCUAACUAUAUGCAAGAUAUUUGCAUAAUUUGCAGCGAGUGAAACUAAAUGAAAUAAUAGGAAGAUCCAUAUAUUAAUCCAAGUUUAUUAAAUAACAUAAGAGCAUACCGAUCGAAAACAAGCCUUAAGGGAGAAUUAAGAUAAUUGGAAUAAAAUUUUGAACAUAUUAACAAACGAAU